AUUGAACGCUGGCGGCGGGCCUAACACAUGCAAGUCGAACGAGUGGCAGACGUGUGAAUAAUGUCUGGGACACUCCCUGAAGGCGGGGGUUACUUCCUGGAAACGGUACCUAAUACCGCAUAGCAUCCGCUUAGCCCAGGUUGGAUUAGCCAGUUGGUGGGGUAACGGCUCACCAAGGCGACGAUGCCUAGCUGGUCUGAGAGGAUGACCGGCAACACUGGAGCUGAGACACGGUCCAGACUCCUACGGGAGGAAGCAGUGGGGAAUAUUGCACAAUGGGCGAAAGCCUGAUGCAGCAAUGCCGCGUGUAUGAAGAAGGCCUUCGGGUUGUAAAGUACUUUCAGCGGGGAGGCGGUACCCGAAGAAAAAGCAACGGCUAACUCCGUGCCAGCAGCCGCGGUAAUAC
rnacentral:rRNA from 1 species